rnacentral:rRNA from 1 species
AGGACGAACGCUGGCGGCGUGCUUAACACAUGCAAGUCGAGCGGAAAGGCCCUUCGGGGUACUCGAGCGGCGAACGGGUGAGUAACACGUGAGUAACCUGCCCUGGACUUUGGGAUAACCCUCGGAAACGGGGGCUAAUACCGGAUAUGACUUCUGCCGGCAUCGGUGGUUGUGGAAAGUUUUUCGGUCUGGGAUGGGCUCGCGGCCUAUCAGCUUGUUGGUGGGUGAUGGCCUACCAAGGCGACGACGGGUAGCCGGCCUGAGAGGGCGACCGGCCACACUGGGACUGAGACACGGCCCAGACUCCUACGGGAGGCAGCAGUGGGGAAUUUUGGACAAUGGGGCAACCCUGAUCCAGCAAUACCGCGUGUGUGAAGAGGCCUUCGGG